GUGGAUGAAUGCACUGACCCAAGCUACAGUAACGUCUACCUUUUCAGUGAGAGAAGAGAAUGUAAUCCAGAGACUGACAACAGAGGUUCGUGGUCACAGUGCAGCUCUCUGCAGCCAUUGAUGACAGAAGCUGAUUACAGCCUGGACAAGCUGGCAGGUCAUUACAUGGUCUGAACUUAUAAAAAAAAAAAAAAACUGUCUGUGAGAAGGUACACGUGUUUGUUUUGUAAAAUUUGUGCCUCCAGCCAUGAAGGUGUGAACUACAGGGAACAAAUACAAUAAGAACUAUAAAUCCCACAGUGCAUGGCA